rnacentral:rRNA from 1 species
AUUGAACGCUGGCGGCAGGCCUAACACAUGUAAGUCGAACGAGUGGCGGACGGGAGAGUCAUGUAUGGGAAACUGCCCGAUGGAGGGGGAUAUCUACUAAACACGGUAGCUAAUACCGCAUACCAUCGGAUGUUCCCAGUUGGGUUUCGCUAGUAGGUGGGGUAACGGCACAACUAGGCGACGAUCCCUAGCUGGUCUGAGAGGAUGACGAGCCAGACUGGGAAUGAGACACGGUCCAGACUCCUACGGGAGGCAGCAGUGGGGAAUAUUGCACAAUGGGCGCAAACCUGAUGCAGCCAUGCCGCGUGUAUGAAGAAGGCCGUCGGGUUGUAAAGUACUUUCAGCAAGGAGGCGUUAAUCGCAGAAGAAGCAACGGCGAAGUCCGUGCCAGCAGCCGCGGUAAUUC